CAGGAUAGAUCAAGCUGUAAGUAAAUCAGUUGGUGUUCCUGUGGCGCUCAAGUGCGGCACUCUGAGACAUGGGCUGGUCCCUCAUUUCUGAGCAAGGCGUCACCGCAAAAGUUGUAUCCAUACAAGCACCUCAUGAUACUGUGUUUCUUCCAAAAUUCUGGAAAUGCAUUCUUUGACAACAGGAAUUGCCUGGAUUAUUGACAUUUUCUUGGGCACAGCUGGGCCCAAAAUCGUUGUGAACUUGUGACAGUUAAAACAGUGGUAAUGGUAGUGGUGCUCACUGUGUUUGUAAGAAUACCGGCUGCAAUGCUGCAGUAUUAACUAUUAUGAUUUUUAAUUAAGUGAACUCGUGAGUAGCCUUCCUCUGACCAACAGCUCUAAAAUCCCAUGUUAGAAUGAAUGAAACAACAGUUCAGAAUGUUCAAACGGUAGGAAUAAGUAAGAAAUAUUUGUUCUUAUCCUAAUGCGGUACGAGAGGGACUUAUUUGUGGUGAAAAAGAUGAAGAAUAGAACUGCGGGCGUGGACGGGGCUCAACGCAUUCCUGGUUGUUUGGUGGAAAAUUUACAGCUAAGUAAUAAAAGUUUACGACUGAGGUACUAUUUGGAUUGGCUGCAGCAGGUCACAUGAUGCGCCCUCGGUGAACGUGAACUUUGUACUGUUGUCUUUCCUGCUGUCAUAUGCUCACCCAUUCGCGCAAGGCAGACCGAGAGCACAAACUCCGUUUUUGUCUUUUAUUCAGGACUUACCCUGUCGCUUGGGCAGAAUGCUGUUACUUUCAUUUGACUUACAUUACCCACCCCUUUCCCAUUCUCCUUCCUCUGUUUCCUCCUCCUCCUUUCGCUCCUGUUCGCCAUCUCUCGCUCUCCCUUUCUGACACUCCUACUAUGAGGUAGAGCAAUAGGUAGGGUAGAUUGCUUUGUUCCUUGUUGCGGACGCGUGAUAUCGAAUACCGAAGACGUCCAGCCUUGCCUCUGAAAAGCCGAAUGGAAUUCCUACAGGGUCUUGGAUAUUUACUGAUACCGCAGUUGGCACAACGCGGUCUCUCCCUCUCGUGCCGCUAGCCCCUGGACCAGUCAGCGUGCGUCACAGCAAAGGGCGCGGAGAACGUGGGUAAAUGGUCUUCAUCGGGAGCAGUCACACUUGCCAACACGGACAUGGGAAGACCCAGUUACCAUUCAGAGCACCGCCCCCGGAUGACACCGUCCUUGAGCGGGCAGGACAUUGACAACCAAAGGAACAGGGAGGGAGAGAGAGAGAAAGGGAGACAGAGAGAGAGAGAGAGAGAGAGAGAGAGAGAUCAAAGCAUCUUGUUCCAAUGUCUUCCCUCUAGACGAAUAUACUGUCCCAAACCACAUCAUGAAACAAUGCAACUAAUGUCGUUGAAGUUGUAUUAAUGAUUGAUUGAUUGAUUGAUUGAUUGUUCAGGGUUGUCUAUCAGCACUUAAACAGGCCAUCAGCACCAAACAGGCCACAGGCACCUUGGGAAGAGAAUCACAAUACAUGCAAUUAAUAAGGACUUAAUAAUAAGUGACAUGAAAUUCUAAAUAUUCCUAGUGGCAGCAGUCAGUAUGGUCCGAACAUGUUGGGAUUCCUAUGUGUCCUUGUGCUUCAUGGCACCUACUAUGCACCUUUAAAAGACAUGUGUAGAAAGCUUCACAGUACUCUUCCAAAGAAUACUAUGCACUUUUAUAAGACAUGUCUAGAAAGGUUCACAGUACUUCCAAAGCAUACUAUGCACUUUUAUAAGACAUGUCUAGAAAGGUUCACAGUACUCUUCCAAAGAAUACUAUGCACUUUUAUAAGACAUGUCUAGAAAGGUUCACAGUACUUCCAAAGCAUACUAUGCACUUUUAUAAGACAUGUCUAGAAAGGUUCACAGUACUCUUCCAAAGAAUACUAUGCACUUUUAUAAAACAUGUCUAGAAAGAUUUACAGUACUCUUCCAAAGAAUACUGUGCACUUUUAUAAGACAUGUCUAGAAAGGUUCACAGUACUCUUCCAAAGAAUACUAUGCACUUUUAUUAAACAUGUCUAGAAAGGUUCACAGUACUCUUCCAAAGAAUACUGUGCACUUGUAUAAGACAUGAAAGGUUCACAGUACUCUUCCAAAGAAGACUAUGCACUUUUAUAAGACCUGUCUUGAAAGGUUCACAGUACUCUUCCAAUGAAUACUAUGCACUUUUAUAAGACAUGUCUAGAAAGGUUCACAGUACUUCCAAAGCAUACUAUGCACUUUUAUAAGACAUGUCUAGAAAGGUUCACAGUACUCUUCCAAAGAAUACUAUGCACUUUUAUAAGACAUGGACUAAGGUGGACAAAGGUUCACAGUACUUCCAAAGCAUACUAUGCACUUUUAUAAGACCUGUCUAGAAAGGUUCACAGUACUCUUCCAAUGAAUACUAUGCACUUUUAUAAGACCUGUCUAGAAAGGCUCACAGUACUCUUCUAAAGAAUACUGUGGAGCUAAUAAUUCAAGAAAAUCUCACAUGAUUCUGAGCAACUCAUUAUUGAGAUUGUAGCCUAAUGCUAUUAAUAUUAUUUACACUGUCAAACCAGCUGCAGAGGUAACACUUACAGUUUAACAACACAGUUGAGGAGUCACAACUCAGCUCACAACACAACUCAGAACACACUUGAGUUGUAAAUGCAUAUGGGAAAAUAGCGGGCAGUUAAGAAUAGUGAGUUGUUAUAUUGUCAUGACAUGUUUCAUACAUACUUUUAGCAACAACAACGCUUCAAGAAAGCAAGCCCUGGAAGGGUGCUGCCUCAAGGCAGCAGCAGACAUGUGCACCCUCAACAUAGGGAUGCCUGUUUGCCACAUGUUGUAAACUUCCUCUGGCAAAAUGCUGAGCAGUUAUGUAGCUUCGUGUAGUCAAUAUGGGCCCCCCCUGUAAAACUUCAUUGGCUUGUACUACACGACGUCUCAUUACAGCAAGUUCAGAGGGCCCCUUGUGAACGGCAGUGAACGACAAAAGUAAGUGUUGCAUCACAUUAUGAGGGUAUGAGAGGUCUCACGAUGUCACCAAUUCAGCACCAUAGCAACGAGGUUGUUUAGUGGAGUGUUCACUCUGAUGUUUCACGGGUCUUAUUUAGAACCUAUUUCUGUUUUCUUUAGAGUACAUCCUUCAAGGAUUUUUGAAACGUCAAAACAGCCGAACAAUUUGCAGGUUGAAUAUUGUAAGCUAGGGGACCAAUUCAGGAACAAUGAACAUGCCAGGAAAAUUAGACUUUUCUUUCUCGACCAAAUCUUUGCAAGCCAAAUGUAAACCUGAUCCUUAUAGUCAUACUCAGCCUCUGGCAGACAAUGUACCGGACAGACCUCAUUUUUCCUACACUAGAUUUUUCCACCUCAGAACAACCUGCUAAAAGUUUUUGUAAGAAGCCAAGUCACAUUUAACAACCACAACCAGUGAAAUCUCACUCCUCGUGAGCGGCUGGCGCUGUCAUACCUAGCGAGUGAGAAUGACAGGGAGGUGACUGAUCACAGGACUGACACACGACUCUGCACAGGGUCGAUGGGGCACGGCUCUGUCUCGCCUGCAUGCACAGGGAAAAUGGCGUCUUCGUGACACUUAUUUAAACUGGAAAAGAGUUGCCGACAAUAAAACUUUUUUUUGCAGCAUAUUAAUUUUUUUAAUCGCACUUGAUAUGGCACUGUAUUCACUGAGGAAGGAUAUACCUGUUGUUAUCUGUUGUUGUUUUGCUGAAUAAUUUAUUGAAUAAAGUCUACGUGAUAAACAUGA